rnacentral:lncRNA from 1 species
CGAUCUCGGCUCACUGCAAGCUCCGCCUCCCGGAUUCACGCCAUUCUCCUGCCUCAGCCUCCCGAGGAGCUGGGACUACAGGGACCCGCCACCACGCCCGGCUAAUUUUUUUGUAUUUUUAGUAGAGACGGGGUUUCACCGUGUUAGCCAGGAUGGUCUCGAUCUCCUGACCUCCUGAUCCGCCCGCCUCGGCCUCCCAAAGUGCUGGGAUUACAGGCGUGAGCCACCGCGCCCGGCCGGUACUCCGAAGCCCUCAGAUCGGCGACCUGGGCGCUGUAGGCACCGAGAAAAUACAGGCACCGAGCCAGAAGCAGUGCCGCAACCAAGAGACCUCGGCUUGGCGAAAUGGCGGCGUCUGGAGCCUGCGAGUGACGCCAGCUGGUGGGGCUGUCAAGGAGAACAUUCGUUACGGCGCAACCAACGGUACUGUCACCAAGAAACCGUCGUCUCUGAGAAAAAAAGAGACGUUCGGCCGCCGAGAAACUCCGUACAAGUGCUGUGACAGAAAAACCGCCGGCUCCGCGCAGCGGCAAAAGAGCCAACGGGAACGCCGGGUGCUGCGACCAUGACCCCGGCACUGGAGGACGUGGGAUGGAGAAUGGGACACACGGAGCGAGAAGGGAAACGUUUCGUGCAGACCAACUAGCGCCGCCGCCACCGGAAAACUGACUCGCCAGUGCUGCCAAUGAAGUGCGUGUGAGAAACCGAUGACUGGUGGGAGGAGCAGCGCUGGGCGCUGGACCCGCGAGUGUGAGAAUCUGGCGGCGCUAGGACCCUUCAGGCGCGGGCACGAGGCGAAACCCAGCGCUGUUGCCAAAGACAAAUGCGCGUUCUUUUGGGCGCCAUCAGCGGUGCAGCCAGUGAUCACUCCCAGGCUCUGAGAAACUAGAGAUGUCAGCCACAAACCCUCCGUUCAGGGAAAGUUUGCGGCGCCGUGACGGAUCGACUGGCACUGGGUGCAACAUUGUCUUGUGGCCUAGAGACUAGAAUAUAAAAACAAAAACCAAAUACAAAACUGCUGCUGGCAUUACUCCUACUCUCCCCCCUCAAGUCAGUGGCUUCAGGCUUAAGAAAACCUGUAUUUUUCUUGGCUGUGCCAUAAUCCGUAAUUACCGAGGCCCCCAGCGACCCACCCAGUGUGAUUCGCAGAGGGAAAGGAGCUGGAAUAAGGACCGUGAAUGGGGCGGAUGUGGCUCGUCCUGGGAGAGAGCUAAAGCUUAUGCUGGUCGCAAACAGCAUUACAUUGCAGGAAACUGCUCUUCCAAUGGCCGUGGCUGGGUCCUUCCACACCAUCCCUCUGCCCUAGACCUUUGUCCCCGUUCAGAGCCAUCAGAGAUUCUAGGAGAGCUGUCGACAACCGCAUCUCUUCGGAACUUGGAAACUCUAGGUUCAAGAUCUCCGUGGAGAAUGAAAGGCACAGUCGCCUGACCCGGGCAUCAGGCUUGCCCCGCACAUCAAGUCCCUCCCCUACUGGAUGGAACUCUGUGGCAAUCGCUCCUUAUUCUGAUGGUUCACUCUGUCAGAUAUCCUCGAUAUUUGGGGAUAGUAGUUCAAAAACAGCCGGGGAGGAAAAUGGGCUGAAAGAUUCCAGCGUUGGAUGUAGAAUUGACAGCGAGACAUACACCUCCUCUCUAAGCCCAGAGAAAAGCUCAAGUUGUGGUUCUCUGUCUCUAGCAGCAUGAUCUUCAAAAUGCAUCAUUGAUUUCUAUCUUCUGGGAAAUGCAAUGCAGGUGAACUUGAGGAAAUCAGUGGUGCUUCAGGAUAUUGUGAAUUUGGUCUUCUGAAAGCAGAAUUCUGAUUUAACAGUAUAAUGGAAUUCGUGAACGUCAUGAUGCUAAUUUGAACCAACAAGCACCCUUGUGAGAGGAAUCUGCUUUUCCUCAAGUCUGAAGAACACCAGGAGAAUCUUUCUGUAUGGAGUUACCAGGAAUCCUCUGCUAAGGAAAGUGAAAGGGAAGAUGCAAUUUCUCCUGGGAAGGGGGGAUGCUGAUGUAGAGGGUGACAAGUAAUAUGCCAUGAAGGAUUCAGUCACCUGGUUAGAUUUAGAGUUAGAGUUAUGGUUAAGGAAGAAGGAAGGAAAAAAGGCAGAAGAGGAAGAAAGGAAGCAAGAAAAGAUAAAAUUUAUUCUAAGAUAAAAUUUGUGAAUUUUGCUAAACUAUA